rnacentral:rRNA from 1 species
CAGCAGCCGCGGUAAUACCGGCGGCCCGAGUGGCGGCCACUAUUAUUGGGCUUAAAGCGUCCGUAGCCGGGUUGGUUAGUCCCCCGGGAAAUCUGGCCGCUUAACGGUCAGAAUUCCGGGGGAUACUGCCAGCCUAGGGACCGGGAGAGGCCGAGGGUAUUCCCGGAGUAGGGGUGAAAUCCUAUAAUCCCGGGAGGACCACCUGUGGCGAAGGCGCUCGGCUGGAACGGGUCCGACGGUGAGGGACGAAGGCCAGGGGAGCAAACCGGAUUAGAUACCCGGGUAGUCCUGGCUGUAAACGAUGCGGACUUUGUGUCGGACAAGCUAUGAGCUUGUCCGGUGCCGGAGGGAAACCGUUAAGUCCGCCGCCUGGGGAGUACGGCCGCAAGGCUGAAACUUAAAGGAAUUGGCGGG